UACGGGGGGGGCAAGCGUUGUUCGGAAUUACUGGGCGUAAAGGGCGCGUAGGCGGCCUGCUAAGUCACACGUGAAAUCCCUCGGCUCAACCGGGGAACUGCGUGUGAUACUGGCGGGCUUGGAAUUCGGGAGAGGGAUGUGGAAUUCCAGGUGUAGCGGUGAAAUGCGUAGAUAUCUGGAGGAACACCAGUGGCGGAAGGCG
rnacentral:rRNA from 1 species